ACAAUACAUGUUGGACAGUUUUUCUGGUACCUGAACUGAUUUGGAACAUUAUUUUUACAUAUUCACAAAGAAGGGUUAGAUAUUCUACAAACACAAGAGAAGACCAUAGGACAGAUCUGUAAAAUGUAUCUAAGCACCUGUGGAAGCACUCUGUCGGCCAGUGAAGUUGUCAGUAAGUCUUUUAGUACUCAUCAGAAUGGUUAGUUUCUUAACUGUCUUGAAACUAUGGCCAAACAUUCCUCCUGUAAAAUAAACUAAACCAGUACUGACUGAAUUUCA
rnacentral:lncRNA from 1 species